UACGGGAGGGGGGCUAGCGUUGUUCGGAAUUACUGGGCGUAAAGCGCACGUAGGCGGCUUUGUAAGUUAGAGGUGAAAGCCUGGGGCUCAACCCCAGAAUUGCCUUUAAGACUGCAUCGCUUGAAUCCAGGAGAGGUGAGUGGAAUUCCGAGUGUAGAGGUGAAAUUCGUAGAUAUUCGGAAGAACACCAGUGGCGAAGGCGGCU
rnacentral:rRNA from 1 species